rnacentral:rRNA from 1 species
CCUACGGGAGGCAGCAGUGAGGAAUAUUGGUCAAUGGACGAGAGUCUGAACCAGCCAAGUAGCGUGAAGGAUGACUGCCCUAUGGGUUGUAAACUUCUUUUAUAUGGGAAUAAAAUGUUCCACGUGUGGGAUUUUGUAUGUACCAUAUGAAUAAGGAUCGGCUCAAUCCGUGCCAGCAGCCGCGGUAAUACGGAGGAUCCGCGGGUUUUCCGGAUUUAUUGGGGGUAAAGGGAGCGUAGGUGGAUUGUUAAGUCAGUUGUGAAAGUUUGGGGCUCAACCGUAAAAUUGCAGUUGAAACUGGCAGUCUUGAGUACAGUAGAGGUGGGCGGAAGUCGGGGUGUAGCGGUGAAAUGCUUAGAUAUCACGAAGAACUCCGAUUGCGAAGGCAGCGCACGGGACUGAAACUGACACGGAGGCUCGAAAGUGUGGGUAUCAAACAGGAUUAGAUACCUAGUAGUC